UGUGCGAUAGGUGGCCUACGUUUGAUGCAGCAUGGGCUGCAAACCCUCCUGAGGAGCUCCCCAGCCUGACAAGCAGCCAGCCCCCCAUGGAUAAGCAGGCACUGAUAGAGGCCAGGCAACACCGCUUACGGCCUUGUGCAUGCUGCCUGUGCUGCAAAACUCCAGGUUUGAACCCUGUAUAAAACGUAGACGGAAACUUGUCCCGGAUGGCCCACACUACACAGGAUGGCAGCACACGCCUAUCUCCCUCUUCGAGGCGCCCCCAAAGCCACGAUGCACAUUGUUUCAAGGAAAGUGUUUGACGAUCACACAAGAAGCAGCACAAUUUGAGAUAAGACAUGUAAGAACAAACUCAAGGAAAAGGCUGCAUAGUGACAACUCAAAG